GGAUAACCGGAAGAAAUUCCGACUAAUACAGCAUAACACUCCUGAGGGACAUCCUUCGGGAGUCAAAGGAGGUAACUCCGGUGACGGAUGGGCAUGCGGCGCAUUAGGUAGUUGGUAGGGUAACGGCCUACCAAGCCGACGAUGCGUAGGGGUUCUGAGAGGAAGGUCCCCCACAUUGGAACUGAGACACGGUCCAAACUCCUACGGGAGGCAGCAGUGAGGAAUAUUGGUCAAUGGCCGGAAGGCUGAACCAGCCAAGUCGCGUGAGGGAAUAAGGCCCUAUGGGUCGUAAACCUCUUUUGUCAGGGAGCAAAGGCGUCCACGUGUGGACGAGAGGAGAGUACCUGAAGAAAAAGCAUUGGCUAACUCCGUGCCAGCAGCCGCGGUAAUACGGAGGAUGCGAGCGUUAUCCGGAUUUAUUGGGUUUAAAGGGUGCGUAGGCGGAGUGUCAAGUCAGCGGUAAAAUUUCGGGGCUCAACCCCGUCGUGCCGUUGAAACUGACACCCUUGAGUGAGUGAGAAGUAAGCGGAAUGCGUGGUGUAGCGGUGAAAUGCAUAGAUAUCACGCAGAACGCCGAUUGCGAAGGCAGCUUACCGGCGCUCAACUGACGCUGAGGCACGAAAGUGCGGGUAUCGAACAGGAUUAGAUACCCUGGUAGUCCGCACAGUAAACGAUGAAUGCUAGAUGUCCGGGGCGAAUGAGUCCUGGGU
rnacentral:rRNA from 1 species